CGCGUAGGCGGUUUUGUAAGUUCCGCGUGAAAUCCCCCGGCUCAACCGGGGAAUGGCGUGGAAAACUGCGAGGCUUGAGUUCGGGAGAGGGAAGCGGAAUUCCGGGUGUAGCGGUGAAAUGCGUAGAUAUCCGGAGGAACACCGGUGGCGAAGGCGGCUUCCUGGACCGACACUGACGCUGGGCGCGAAAGCUAGGGGAGCAAACG
rnacentral:rRNA from 1 species